UUCGCAUAUCAAAAAAGCGGAGGAAAAGAAACCAACAGGGAUUGCCCUAGUAACGGCGAGUGAAGCGGCAACAGCUCAAAUUUGAAAGCUAGCCUUCGGGUUCGCAUUGUAAUUUGUAGAGGAUGAUUUGGGGAAGCCGCCUGUCUAAGUUCCUUGGAACAGGACGUCAUAGAGGGUGAGAAUCCCGUAUGUGACAGGAAAUGGCACCCUAUGUAAAUCUCCUUCGACGAGUCGAGUUGUUUGGGAAUGCAGCUCUAAAUGGGAGGUAAAUUUCUUCUAAAGCUAAAUAUUGGCGAGAGACCGAUAGCGCACAAGUAGAGUGAUCGAAAGAUGAAAAGCACUUUGGAAAGAGAGUUAAAAAGCACGUGAAAUUGUUGAAAGGGAAGCGCUUGCAAUCAGACUUGUUUAAACUGUUCGGCCGGUCUUCUGACCGGUUUACUCAGUUUGGACAGGCCAGCAUCAGUUUCGGCGGCCGGAUAAAGGCUCUGGGAAUGUGGCCUCCACUUCGGUGGAGGUGUUAUAGCCCAGGGUGUAAUACGGCCAGCCGGGACUGAGGUCCGCGCUCGGCUAGGAUGCUGC
rnacentral:rRNA from 1 species